rnacentral:rRNA from 1 species
UACGUAGGGGGCAAGCGUUGUCCGGAAUCAUUGGGCGUAAAGAGCGCGUAGGCGGUCCGGUAAGUCCGCUGUGAAAGUCAAGGGCUCAACCCUUGAAUGCCGGUGGAUACUGUCGGGCUAGAGUCCGGAAGAGGCGAGUGGAAUUCCUGGUGUAGCGGUGAAAUGCGCAGAUAUCAGGAGGAACACCAAUGGCGAAGGCAGCUCGCUGGAACGGUACUGACGCUGAGACGCGAAAGCGUGGGGAGCGAACAGG